rnacentral:rRNA from 1 species
UACGUAGGGGCCUAGCGUUGUCCGGAUUUAUUGGGCGUAAAGGGUGCGUAGGUGGCGCGGUAAGUCGGGUGUGAAAUUUCGGAGCUUAACUCCGAAACUGCAUUCGAUACUGCCGUGCUUGAGGACUGGAGAGGAGACUGGAAUUUACGGUGUAGCAGUGAAAUGCGUAGAGAUCGUAAGGAAGACCAGUGGCGAAGGCGGGUCUCUGGACAGUUCCUGACACUGAGGCACGAAGGCCAGGGGAGCAAACGGG